AUGAAGCAAACAAAAUGGAUUAGGCCGGUUCCGGGAAUGGUGAAGCUCAACGCAGAUGGUGCAGUGGCGAAGAAUCUGAACAAAGGCGCUGUUGGUGUUGUAUGCCGGAGUCAUGAUGGACUGUAUCUGGGUGCGUCGGCAGUGGUGUUCGACGGUGUGACGGAUUCCACAACCCUUGAAGCUCUUGCAUGUCGAGAGGCUUUAUCACUGGCCGAGGAUCUGCAUGUGAAUAACAUUAGUAUUGCAACCGACUGUCUGAGAGUCAUUAAUGAGCUUCGUGAGUCCGUUCAUCUGGGUCCUUACUGCAUGAUCCUAAAUGAUAUCCGGGAUAAAGCUGCGACCCUCCCGGAGUGCUCCUUCAGCUACGAACAGCGCAAAUGUAAUGUCGAGCCUCAUAGACUAGCUAGGAUGGCAACUAGUUUAGAUGUGGGGAGGCAUGUCUGGCUAGGUGACCCCCCUGCUCACCUUUGUAUCUCUCAAAACAUUGAUCUUUGA
rnacentral:rRNA from 1 species